UAUUCCAAACUUGGAAUCCACAGAAAUAGUAUUAAAAAGAGCUCAUCCUCGUUGUCACCUUCAGGUUGAUCCUAAGCAUGCCGACGUGGAUGCUAAAUCCUUCCGGAUUACUGCACGGAUUUGUAUAUCUCCCCUUCGAUCUCCACCGAACUUCCAGCCCAAUCAUGGUCGUCGUUGGAUCGAGCUGAUCAUGUAGCUAGCGUGUGGUAUCAUGGGCCAGAUUGUACUGCUACCACUUCAGAAUUAAGCCACCUAUGUCGUCUCUCUCGCUGCAGGCUGCAGCUGCCUGCCUUUGAUCUUUCUUAUCUCCUUCUCUUCCUCCUCGAUCCAUGGUCAAGUGAUCGUAUCUUCAAUUCCUACAAUGGCGAUGCCGUGGGAGACGGUGGCGUGCAUCCUGCGGAACGUGUGGGCGCUGCUCGACGGCUGGAUCGCCGUCUGCUGCCUCGCCGCCGACGAGCUCGCGGGCCUCCUCCGCUCGGCGCUCGGUUAGCUGAUCGACGACGUGCUCGAUCGGCGCGCGUGGCCGAUCGAGCUAACUAACUACUCCACUAAUUAACUGCAGGUCUUUCAUGUUGCACGGAGAAGAGGCUGAUCGAUGUACAGACAAUUUCUUUUUUUUCUUUGUUAAUGUAACUAUGUUAAUGGUGAAGUGAUCAUGCCUUUUUGUUCUGAAAAAGAAGGUAGAUCAAUUAAUGUACAGACGUGAAUGUGCAGGAUAUAUAUUGUAAAUUUUGAACUUCAUUUGUUAUAGAUUAAUUAUUGAUGUAUACACGAGGCUCU